UUUGAUGCUUCAGUUAUCUAGGGUUCUUUUCAAGUGUCAUGGUGCAAUGAACUCUGUGUUCACCAAGUAGGCGGCUUUUUAUUCAUAUUAUCUGCUGUCUCUGAAGAAUAGUUUUAGAGAUUCUGAUGUUGCAGCAUUGCUGGUGCCUUCUCAGUAGAGUAAAAGUCUCACGCUGCGUAUUCACUGGGAAAAAGCUUAGAAGUGCAUCAGGUUCAGGAGCUAAAAGCUGUACUUCAGUGAGAAGAAUGUCUUCUGAACCUGAAGGAGUUGCAAAAUAAUAAAAUUUAGGUGAAGGAAAAGUUCCUUCUCUUAAUUUCUGCCGUUGUUGUUUUUCUUUUCCAUCUGGUCGUAAAAUGAAGGUCCCAUUUUCUGGCUUUUGGCAGAGUGCAAGCUUGCUGAAAUCGUUCACGUUAUGUAGACUGUGUUUGUGUGAAAUGAUAAUAUCAUACCUAUAGUCUGCUGCAGGCUCAAAAGCAGCCUAUGCCUCCUGGACUGUUUUAUGCCUUUGCUUUUGUUACUAUGCCCUUGUAAGUCUUCAGCAGGGAAAUGAAAUUACCCUAUACAGAAGAAACACCGUCCAGAAGAAACUUCAGGUGCUAGGGCCUGAAUUUUCACUGAAACCAAAGGCAGGUAUCUUACUGAUGUGAAGAAAGGGGCUUUAAUCUAUCCUGGUUUGUUUACUAAUGAAGGAGCGUGAAAGAGAUGCAUGUCCUUGUCUCUGAAGAGGUGAAGGAACAGCUAGUGCAAGGAACAUAAAAUUCAGUUAUGCUGAACUAACAGGUGCUUGGAGACGGCAACACAGAAUCACCUAGGUUGGAAGAGACCUCCAAGAUCACGUAGUCCAACCUCUGACAUACCACUAACAAGUCCUCCACUAAGCUGUAUCCCUAAGCUCCACACCUAAACAUCUUUUAAAGACCUCCAGGGAUGGCGGACUGAGUGAGGCGUGGGCGGACUGAGGCGCAGAGAAAGACCUGGAAAGACCAUGAGGAACCCACACUGGAAGAGUUGGUUAAAGAACCCUGGCAUCAGGAAGAAAGUUUCUCCUCUUCCCUACAGACCUGCAUCUUGGCUGUGGAGAAACCUCAUGAAGAGGUCCAUCAAGUUAAAGAGAAUUUAUCUUCCUCCCCACCUAUACAAAUGAGUGUCUCAGCUAUCAGGGGUUACCGUCCUUCUUUGCAAGGAAAAUGACAGAGUGGGAGCAAACUCUGUGCCACCCUGUGGUUUUACUUACUUGACCAGCCCCCAGAUCUACCUGCAGCAGAUGAGUUGGCUGAACAACUUUGACAGUACUAAUAAUGUCUCUCCUCUUCCCUAGAGGCCUGCUUCUCAGCUGUGGAGAAACUUUUGGAGAAACUUGCUGCUCCAACUUCCAGUGGGCAGUCCUCUGUCUCAGAUCUGUCCCAGUUCAUCAUCUAACAUGUACUUAAACUGCCCUGUAAGUGUAACAUAUUAGCAAUGUGCAGUAGAUUUCUGUGUUUUUAUGCAUUUAAUACUUGAAUCCAUGCUGUCUGUGUAACAGUCGCCACAGAGAUGUCAGUUUUUCCUGACCCUGAAACUAUAUGCCAAGGGCAGUACAUGAGCAUCAGUGUAAGACUGGAAAAUUUAGGAAGAACAGAGUUUAGUGAUCACUAUCGAGGCUGCUAGUUCUCUUUCUUCUACGAAGAAAUGUCCAUGCUAUCAUCAGCAGUAAGUUCAGGUGCACCUUUCAGGCUAGUAAGUGUGUUUUAGUGUGUCACAGAACUGACAUUUCUCUGGCCACUAUGCACCAUGUAUAUCACAACACUGUUUAAACCUUCAGAGAAAGGGUUCAGUGGGUGUAGGAUGGAAGACAAGGUCCAGGAAAAGCACUCUAGCACUAGAUGACAUGGAGGUGUUUAUUUAGGGUGGUACACAGAGUGGUAGGAGAGCAGAGAUGACUAUCACUACAGAAGUGCAUAACAGCACUGAGAACUAAUCCUUUUUACAUCCUCUGGCUUUGCACACAUUUAAAACUGCACUACUGAUUUAGUAAAAUAAUAUUGCACAUCAGUUUUAAUCUUGAAACAGAAGACUCUUGAAACAAAUUUGCUUCCUUGACAGACCACGGGAACUUGUGAGGUUUCCACAGCUUUCUCUUCCUUUUUGCUCAUAUUGAGCUUCCCCAGCCUUUCAUAGGAAUUACCUGAACCCUUUUAGAUUACAUCCACUGAUGGAACACAGCUGCCUGGGAGAGUGCCUACUGUCUCCCUAAGGUGCAGCCCUGACACAAAACAGUUGCUGAAGAUUAUUGUAGCAAAACGGUAUUGUCUUUUAGGGCAUUAGCUGUGACAUAUUUUAUCUGAUCAGCCUUCAUAAAUCAUGCCCAAAUCAGCUGCUAGGUAAAAGACUGUGUCUCUGGAUUCUUCUGCCCAGAGGUUUCUCCUUUUUACUACUGUUCUCUUCAUUUCCUGCUCUGGGGAAAUGAGUGACAUUAUGGAUAAUGAAUAUACUGACUGAAACUUCUGUUAGCCAUUAAGUCAUAUUAAAUGUACUCCCUCUGUGUGGGUGGAGGAAGCUGGGUCUUGUUAGAGGUUCAGAAUGAAAGAUCAAUGUAUUAAUUAAUGUAUUAGAAAAUGACAACCAGAAUCUCUGGAUCUGACUUAAGGCUGUAUUAUAGCUGUAAUAUCUUAUACAACUAUUUUUCUAGAUGUAGUCAGAAUUCAUUCCAUUAGAAGAGUCUUCAUACUCACAUGUUAGAAUAGAUCUAAUUUCUGUUAGGUUUGACAUUAAUAGCUUAUAUUUAUCCUCAGAAAAGAUAACAUAUCUGUUUAUCUCUGUAUAUCACUAACAAAAUGAUAGUCACAUCAGUGUAAAAAUGAAGGUGAGAGCCAGGAAGAAUUAUUUUCCAUGUUCUUGUAGUAGGGUAGCCAAAAUACUGAAAAACUGAAGUAUUCUAUUUAUGGUGACUGCCUUUGUUUAGGAAAGGCUCAUUAUCUUUACUCUGUGGCACUCUAAAUCUUGGUGAGUAAACAGGUGAGGAAAUUUUGCAGCUCUUGGUUCCAUUGCUUUAUUGCUUUUUUGUUAUUGUCCAAAAAAUCCAACAAAAUGUUUUUGCUGUGGUGGUGGUUUUUUGUUUGUUUGGCUUGGGUUUCUUUUUUUUUUUUAUUACUAAUUUUUAAAACAUUAGAAAGUCAUAUUCAUGAAGACAUACUUCUUGAAAGGUCACACUUUCUCACAGAAAGAUGUUGUGUGUAUUGAAAAUUAGUUCAGGGUUUGGGAUUCAUUAAGAGAUUAUACAGGCAGCAAGGACAUAAGGAGUUACAUGGCUGUCAAAAACUACUGUAUUUAGAGUCUGAUGUAGCUAAACUGCAAUGUCAGAUAAUUAUCAAGGUUGUAACAAGACUUUCAUGAAUAAGGGCUACCCCACUUAUCUGUAAAGAUUUGCACUGUGUUGUGGAAGUGUUGGCAUCUUUCACUGAAAUAUUUGGAGGUGGGUAAAAAAUAUAAAUUAAAAGUUCUGGUGUCUGAUACAA